rnacentral:rRNA from 1 species
ACUCCUACGGGAGGCAGCAGUAGGGAAUCUUCCACAAUGGGCGCAAGCCUGAUGGAGCAACACCGCGUGAGUGAAGAAGGGCUUCGGCUCGUAAAGCUCUGUUGUUAAAGAAGAACACGUAUGAGAGUAACUGUUCAUACGUUGACGGUAUUUAACCAGAAAGUCACGGCUAACUACGUGCCAGCAGCCGCGGUAAUACGUAGGUGGCAAGCGUUAUCCGGAUUUAUUGGGGCGUAAAGAGAGUGCAGGCGGUUUUCUAAGUCUGAUGUGAAAGCCUUCGGCUUAACCGGAGAAGUGCAUCGGAAACUGGAUAACUUGAGUGCAGAAGAGGGUAGUGGAACUCCAUGUGUAGCGGUGGAAUGCGUAGAUAUAUGGAAGAACACCAGUGGCGAAGGCGGCUACCUGGUCUGCAACUGACGCUGAGACUCGAAAGCAUGGGUAGCGAACAGGAUUAGAUACCCUGGUAGGAUAGCG